ACGGGUGAGUAACACGUGGGUGAUCUGCCCCGCACUUCGGGAUAAGCCUGGGAAACUGGGUCUAAUACCGGAUACGACCCCCUGGUAGGUCAGGGGGUGGAAAGAUUUAUCGGUGUGGGAUGAGCCUGCGGCCUAUCAGCUUGUUGGUGGGGUAAUGGCCUACCAAGGCGUCGACGGGUAGCCGGCCUGAGAGGGUGAUCGGCCACAUUGGGACUGAGACACGGCCCAGACUCCUACGGGAGGCAGCAGUGGGGAAUAUUGCACAAUGGGCGCAAGCCUGAUGCAGCGACGCCGCGUGGGGGAUGACGGCCUUCGGGUUGUAAACUCCUUUCGACAGGGACGAAGCUAACGUGACGGUACCUGUAGAAGAAGCACCGGCUAACUACGUGCCAGCAGCCGCGGUAAUACGUAGGGUGCGAGCGUUGUCCGGAAUUACUGGGCGUAAAGAGCUCGUAGGUGGUUUGUCGCGUCGUCUGUGAAAUCCCGGGGCUUAACCUCGGGCGUGCAGGCGAUACGGGCAUAACUUGAGUGCUGUAGGGGAGACUGGAAUUCCUGGUGUAGCGGUGAAAUGCGCAGA
rnacentral:rRNA from 1 species